GAAGGAUGCAUACAGACAGGACUGGGGAGAGCAGCUGGUAGGCAAGGUACAACCCGUGAUAUGUGUUCUUGACAUUGAAAGCCACAACAUCAGCGUGCUAGAGGACGUGCCGGCACACCUGUCUCCCGCACAGGCGAUUUGGACACCAGAUGACGCCGGUGUAGUGUUUGUCGGCUGGUGGCAGGAUCCGUACAAACUCGGCCUCAUCUUCUGUACGAUCAGACGCAGCGCCAUCUAUCACCUAGACUUCCAGUCGGGAAAUUGCUCAAUCAUAGGGAAGGACGAUCAGUCCGUGCGUACGCCGCGCUUCAGUCCCGACCUUCAGAAACUCGUCUACCUAGAGAACGUGGCGACGGGUCCACACACCAGGGCCAUGAAACUG